rnacentral:lncRNA from 1 species
UCUCCCUGACCCUGAAGGAAUACCAGACACACCAACUGAUGGUGUUACUGAGGAACCUCUCCCUGACCCUGAAGGAAUACCAGACACACCAACUGAUGGUGUUACUGAGGAACCUCUCCCAGACCCUGAAGGAAUACCAGACACACCAACUGAUGGUGUUACUGAGGAACCUCUCCCAGACCCUGAAGGAAUACCAGACACACCAACUGAUGGUGUUACUGAGGAACCUCUCCCAGACCCUGAAGGAAUACCAGACACACCAACUGAUGAUGUGGGUGAUUUUCCUGACCCCUCAUCCCCAGGCCUACCAAAAGGGUGUCCUCUUUGGCGAGCGCUUCAGCUGCACCGCAUGUUUUGACUGACGCAGUCCUGAAACAACAAGAAGAGAUCAACACAUCAAACAGACUCAAACAGCAGCUGGAGGAU